AUUUUAAAAGCCUCUCAUUUCUGAUGUGUUAAUAGUUUUCAUUCCAAAUAUUUGCUAAUAUUCAAACAUCUGAAGAAAUCACAGUAAUUUCUCCCUAUUUCAUUUGUAGCUGGACAUGAAAAAUGAAUUGGACGUUCUCAAGACUGAGCAGCACAGAAGACGAGGAUCCUUGUUUUUGGCACAUUCAGUGACUGUAAAUCUUUGUCUUUUAUCCUUCCAGGUGGAGAAGUAUUUGCGCUUCUUUUCACGCUUUUAAUCAAAUUGCAGAUGUCUCAGCUGACAGACACUCCUCCUUUCAUGAGCCUCUUUCAACAGAGGUUCUUUGCGAUGCAUUUUUAACUAUGACUUUAUACACUUCCAUAACACAAGCCAUUCUUAUUUUUAAAGUCCAUUCAUUUCAAAGUCAUUCUCAAAAGGAAGUUUGGACUGUAGACUGCAAUUUGUUGAAACUGCAUAAAGAAAACAAGGGAAGCAAGCAAUGACAUUCCAGGUCACGGCCCAUGAAAUCAGACUGGUGAAAGGGUGCUGUGUUACCACCAGGCCUCUCAGCUCCUCUGCCUGGCUCAUUUUGGUGAUCUGGUUUGCAGAACCACCCUAAAACUGUUCCUCCAGAGAAGCCAAGAAAGAGAGGAGCUGCUCUGAUCAGG